rnacentral:rRNA from 1 species
UACGAAGGGGGCUAGCGUUGUUCGGAAUCACUGGGCGUAAAGCGCACGCAGGCGGAUCGUUAAGUCAGGGGUGAAAUGCCGAGGCUCAACCUCGGAACUGCCUUUGAUACUGGCGAUCUUAGAGUCCGGGAGAGGUGAGUGGAACUCCGAGUGUAGAGGUGAAAUUCGUAGAUAUUCGCAAGAACACCAGUGGCGAAGGCGGCUCACUGGCCCGAUACUGACGCUGAGGCGCGAAAGCGUGGGGAGCAAACAGG